AUUGAACGCUGGCGGCAGGCUUAACACAUGCAAGUCGAGCGGGGGAAGGUAGCUUGCUACCGGACCUAGCGGCGGACGGGUGAGUAAUGCUUAGGAAUCUGCCUAUUAGUGGGGGACAACAUCUCGAAAGGGAUGCUAAUACCGCAUACGUCCUACGGGAGAAAGCAGGGGAUCUUCGGACCUUGCGCUAAUAGAUGAGCCUAAGUCGGAUUAGCUAGUUGGUGGGGUAAAGGCCUACCAAGGCGACGAUCUGUAGCGGGUCUGAGAGGAUGAUCCGCCACACUGGGACUGAGACACGGCCCAGACUCCUACGGGAGGCAGCAGUGGGGAAUAUUGGACAAUGGGGGGAACCCUGAUCCAGCCAUGCCGCGUGUGUGAAGAAGGCCUUAUGGUUGUAAAGCACUUUAAGCGAGGAGGAGGCUACUUUAGAUAAUACCUAGAGAUAGUGGACGUUACUCGCAGAAUAAGCACCGGCUAACUCUGUGCCAGCAGCCGCGGUAAUACAGAGGGUGCAAGCGUUAAUCGGAUUUACUGGGCGUAAAGCGCGCGUAGGCGGCUAAUUAAGUCAAAUGUGAAAUCCCCGAGCUUAACUUGGGAAUUGCAUUCGAUACUGGUUAGCUAGAGUGUGGGAGAGGAUGGUAGAAUUCCAGGUGUAGCGGUGAAAUGCGUAGAGAUCUGGAGGAAUACCGAUGGCGAAGGCAGCCAUCUGGCCUAACACUGACGCUGAGGUGCGAAAGCAUGGGGAGCAAACAGGAUUAGAUACCCUGGUAGUCCAUGCCGUAAACGAUGUCUACUAGCCGUUGGGGCCUUUGAGGCUUUAGUGGCGCAGCUAACGCGAUAAGUAGACCGCCUGGGGAGUACGGUCGCAAGACUAAAACUCAAAUGAAUUGACGGGGGCCCGCACAAGCGGUGGAGCAUGUGGUUUAAUUCGAUGCAACGUGAAGAACCUUACCUGGCCUUGACAUAGUAAGAACUUUCCAGAGAUGGAUUGGUGCCUUCGGGAACUUACAUACAGGUGCUGCAUGGCUGUCGUCAGCUCGUGUCGUGAGAUGUUGGGUUAAGUCCCGCAACGAGCGCAACCCUUUUCCUUAUUUGCCAGCGAGUAAUGUCGGGAACUUUAAGGAUACUGCCAGUGACAAACUGGAGGAAGGCGGGGACGACGUCAAGUCAUCAUGGCCCUUACGGCCAGGGCUACACACGUGCUACAAUGGUCGGUACAAAGGGUUGCUGCGCAGCGAUGUAAUGCUAAUCUCAAAAAGCCGAUCGUAGUCCGGAUUGGAGUCUGCAACUCGACUCCAUGAAGUCGGAAUCGCUAGUAAUCGCGGAUCAGAAUCACCGCGGUGAGUACCCUUCCCGGGC
rnacentral:rRNA from 1 species